CCUACGGGGGGCAGCAGUGGGGGAUAUUGCACAAUGGGGGGAACCCUGAUGCAGCGACGCCGCGUGGGUGAAGGAGUGUUUCGGCGCGUAAAGCUCUAUCGGCAGGGAAGAAGAUGACGGUACCUGACUAAGAAGCCCCGGCUAACUACGUGCCAGCAGCCGCGGUAAUACGUAGGGGGCAAGCGUUAUCCGGAUUUACUGGGUGUAAAGGGGGCGCAGACGGCAACGCAAGUCAGGAGUGAAAGGCCGGUGCCCAACCCCGGAACUGCUCUUGAAACUGCGUGGCUAGAGUGCAGGAGGGGCAAGCGGAAUUCCUAGUGUAGCGGUGAAAUGCGUAGAUAUUAGGAGGAACACCAGUGGCGAAGGCGGCCUACUGGACUGUGACUGACGUUGAGGCCCGAAGGCGUGGGGAGCAAACAGGAUUAGAUACCCCGGUAGUC
rnacentral:rRNA from 1 species